rnacentral:rRNA from 1 species
CACGUGGGUAACCUGCCUUAUAGUGGGGGAUAGCCUUUCGAAAGGAAGAUUAAUACCGCAUAAGAUUGUAGUAUCGCAUGAUAUAGCAAUUAAAGGAGCAAUUCGCUAUAAGAUGGACCCGCGUCGCAUUAGCUAGUUGGUGAGGUAAUGGCUCACCAAGGCGACGAUGCGUAGCCGACCUGAGAGGGUGAUCGGCCACAUUGGGACUGAGACACGGCCCAGACUCCUACGGGAGGCAGCAUUG